rnacentral:lncRNA from 1 species
GAGGGUAGAGUAUACACAGACCAUACCACUACCUUAGGAGACGUAGAGAGGCUAUUUCUGAUAGACCCCUGGCUUAGGACCGAUAACAAUAUAACAAACACAAAAAAUAAGUGCAUAUAAACUAGUAUAUACGCAAGACAAACUAACAGUAUAACAAACACAAAAGAUAAGUUCAUAUAAACUAGUAUGGUAUGAAAAAUAAACUAACACCGC